rnacentral:rRNA from 1 species
GAUGAACGCUGGCGGCGUGCCUAAUACAUGCAAGUCGAGCGAACAGAUGAGGAGCUUGCUCCUCUGACGUUAGCGGCGGACGGGUGAGUAACACGUGGAUAACCUACCUAUAAGACUGGGAUAACUUCGGGAAACCGUAGCUAAUACCGGAUAAUAUAUUGAACCGCAUGGUUCAAUAGUGAAAGACGGUUUUGCUUUCACUUAUAGAUUGAUCCGCGCCUCAUUAGCUAGUUGGUAAGGUAACGGCUUACCAAGGCAACGAUGCGUAGCCGACCUGAGAGGGUGAACGGCCACACUGGAACUGAGACACGGUCCAGACUCCUACGGGAGGCAGCAGUAGGGAAUCUUCCGAAAUGGGCGAAAGCCUGACGGAGCAACGCCGCGUGAAUGAUGAAGGUCUUCGGAUCGUAAAACUCUGUUAUUAGGGAAGAACAAAUGUGUAAGUAACUAUGCACGUCUUGACGGUACCUAAUCAGAAAGCCACGGCUAACUACGUG